rnacentral:rRNA from 1 species
AUUGAACGCUGGCGGCAGGCCUAACACAUGCAAGUCGAACGGUAACAGGAAGCAGCUUGCUGCUUUGCUGACGAGUGGCGGACGGGUGAGUAAUGUCUGGGAAACUGCCCGAUGGAGGGGGAUAACUACUGGAAACGGUAGCUAAUACCGCAUAACGUCGCAAGACCAAAGAGGGGGACCUUAGGGCCUCUUGCCAUCGGAUGUGCCCAGAUGGGAUUAGCUAGUAGGUGGGGUAACGGCUCACCUAGGCGACGAUCCCUAGCCGGUCUGAGAGGAUGACCAGCCACACCGGAACUGAGACACGGUCCAGACUCCUACGGGAGGCAGCAGUGGGGAAUAUUGCACAAUGGGCGCAAGCCUGAUGCAGCCAUGCCGCGUGUAUGAAGAAGGCCUUCGGGUUGUAAAGUACUUUCAGCGGGGAGGAAGGGAGUAAAGUUAAUACCUUUGCUCAUUGACGUUACCCGCAGAAGAAGCACCGGCUAACUCCGUG